AGAGUUUGAUCAUGGCUUAGGAUGAACGCUGGCGGUAUGCCUAACACAUGCAAGUCGAACGAUGUCUUCGGACAUAGUGGCGGACGGGUGAGUAACGCGUGAGAAUCUGCCUCUAGGAUGGGGAUAACGGUUGGAAACUACCGCUAACACCCAAUAUGCCGUAAGGUGAAAAAUUUAUUGCCUGGAGAGGAGCUCGCGUCUGAUUAGCUAGUUGGUGGGGUAAGAGCUCACCAAGGCCUCGAUCAGUAGCUGGUCUGAGAGGAUGAGCAGCCACACUGGGACUGAGACACGGCCCAGACUCCUACGGGAGGCAGCAGUGGGGAAUUUUCCGCAAUGGGCGAAAGCCUGACGGAGCAAUACCGCGUGAGGGAGGAAUGCCUUUGGGUUGUAAACCUCUUUUCUCAGGGAAGAAGAUCUGACGGUACCUGAGGAAUAAGUAUCGGCUAACUCCGUGCCAGCAGCCGCGGUAAUACGGAGGAUGCAAGCGUUAUCCGGAAUCAUUGGGCGUAAAGCGUCCGCAGGUGGUUUCCAAAGUCUGCUGUUAAAGACUGGAGCUCAACUCCGGAACGGCGGUGGAAACUUGGAAACUAGAGUUCGGUAGGGGUAGCAGGAAUUCCCAGUGUAGCGGUGAAAUGCGUAGAUAUUGGGAAGAACAUCGGUGGCGAAGGCGUGCUACUGGACCGUAACUGACACUCAGGGACGAAAGCUAGGGGAGCGGAAGGGAUUAGAUACCCCUGUAGUCCUAGCUGUAAACGAUGGAAACUAGGUGUGGCUUGUAUCGACCCGAGCCGUGCCG
rnacentral:rRNA from 1 species